UACGAGGGGGGCAAAUGUUGUUCGGAAUCACUGGGCGUAAAGGGAGCGUAGGCGGGCUUCUAAGUUAGGUGUUUAAUCCCGGGGCCCAACCCCGGUCAGGCACCUAAAACUGGGAGUCUUGAAUAGUGGAGAGGUCAGUGGAAUUGGGGGUGUAGCGGUGGAAUGCGUAGAGAUCCCCAAGAACACCAGUUGCGAAGGCGGCUGACUGGACACAUAUUGACGCUGAGGCUCGAAAGCAUGGGGAGCAAACAGG
rnacentral:rRNA from 1 species